UAUAAAAGAAGAAUGUGAGAGAGCUUGUUUGCAGGACUGUAAUUGUGACACUGCAUUUUUCAAUGAUGGGCAGUGCAGAAAGCAGAGGCUACCUUUGAGAUAUGCCUUUGAGAUAUGGAAAAAGAGAUGUGGGUGACUCAAACUUCGCUUUGAUCAAGGUUGGCAGAUCCAUAUCCACCACAGACAGAACCGAGCCUAGAAAGAAAAGGAGUAAUCAGCUUAGCAACAGCAUUAUAAUUGUCAGUGCUUCAAUUGUUGUUUUCGGAUUUUUUAUGUUGGCAAUUUCUGGCGUUCUGUUUUAUAAAUCUCAUGCCCGCGCAUAUAAAAGGAUAGCUGCAAAUGAGAAUAUUGCAUUAAGUGAGGAAGUUGGUCCUCGUUCU
rnacentral:misc_RNA from 1 species